rnacentral:rRNA from 1 species
UACGUAGGGGGCGAGCGUUGUCCGGAUUUAUUGGGCGUAAAGAGCGUGUAGGCGGUUCGGUAAGUCUGUCGUGAAAUCCCUCAGCUUAACUGGGGAACUGCGUCUGAUACUGGAUGGCUUGAGAUUGGGAGAGGGAUGCGGAAUUCCAGGUGUAGCGGUGAAAUGCGUAGAUAUCUGGAGGAACACCGGUGGCGAAGGCGGCAUCCUGGACCAACAUUGACGCUGAGGAGCGAAAGCUAGGGGAGCAAACGGG